UAUGGGACUGAAAAGAUAAAAUGAACUAUGAUUUGUAAUCACAAAUUAAAUUUGUUUAAUUUUAAAAUGUUGAAUGGGAAUACAAAACAAAAUUAACAUAUUUUAUUUAAUAUUAAUCUUAAAACAAUGCUAGUUUUUUAACAGAAAAUGCUGCAACUGAAAUUUUGGUGAAGUUUACCUCUGUAGGAGCUGGCCUCUUUUUAGAAUCUGCACUUCAAAGACAUAGGAAAGCCCUAUGAUAAUUUGCAAUUUGAUAGGUUUUUUUCAUUCUAGACACUUCUCGGUUUUGCUUAAAAAUCACUGAGGCAGCCAAAGUAAAGGCCAGAUGCUGUCACUACACCCAACUGGGAUAUUUUCAAGUUGAAAUACCUAAGGAGAAAUGAGAACAGUUUUGGUACUGCCUCUUCACUGAGUUCUCCUAAACUGCUGUGGGGAACAGAACAUACUGGUGCUGCAGAUAGCUGCAGGUCUGGAGCCAUCCGAUCCUAUGGUGGUGUUCAGCUGCUCGUAAAGGGGAUUUCUUUGUGGAAGCCGAAGAAACAUUUCUGUCCCAGAGCCCUUUUUCAGAGCAGCACCUCAGCUGGGGCUUCUUGUGUCCCUUCCCCUUUACACUGCAGGUGAAGUUCUCUCUGCUGCUGAACACAGGCAAAAAUCUGCCUUCAGUGAUAUAGAUCUUCAUUCAUUCUUUCUUCAGAUCUGUUUUCUGAGGGAUGCUUAAUAGCCCAUAGCAAAAAUUCACCUAUUUUUUUAUAUGAGGAAAAGUGGUUUCAUGAAAAUCAAAAUCUGCCACAGGAGAAAAGACUGAUGAAAUUGGGCUUAUGAAAAAUGAAAACCAAUGGCUGUUUCUCCUUGUGGCUGAGUCAGUGUGAUACAUCACAGGAUGCUUCUACACCUCUGCUCUGUGGAGAGGCCAUGGGAAAUACAGUCUGGCUGGGGAGCAAUUCCCAUCUGGGAGAGCAAGAGGAUGAUGGGAGACAACUCCCAAAAGUCUUUCUGGCAUCUGGAGUGAACACAGAGAUUAAUGUUGACUCAAAACAAGAAGCUGCAUUUCAGGCCAGUGAAUCAAAGAGAAAGACUUGUUUUUGGAACGCCAAGAAAUGCUUUAUUUUAAUCCAGAAGUUCCUGAAUCACAGUUGUGCAAACUUUUGUUCCUUUCAUUCAUACAUUCCACUUUCCUGUGUCAUUUCUGUAGGAAACAAAUCCAGGGUGAUCAG